rnacentral:rRNA from 1 species
CGACGAUUGGUAGCCGGACUGAGAGGUUGAACGGCCACAUUGGGACUGAGACACGGCCCAGACUCCUACGGGAGGCAGCAGUGGGGGAUAUUGCACAAUGGGGGAAACCCUGAUGCAGCGACGCCGCGUGGAGGAAGAAGGUUUUCGGAUUGUAAACUCCUGUCGUUAGGGACGAUAAUGACGGUACCUAACAAGAAAGCACCGGCUAACUACGUGCCAGCAGCCGCGGUAAAACGUAGGGUGCAAGCGUUGUCCGGAAUUACUGGGUGUAAAGGGAGCGCAGGCGGACCGGCAAGUUGGAAGUGAAAACUAUGGGCUCCACCCAUAAAUUGCUUUCAAAACUGCUGGCCUUGAGUAG